UGAUCAACAUUUAGAAAAACGGAACUCCGUUCCUUUAUUACAUUGGUUUCCAAAAACCAACACACAUCUUACAGACAGGAAGGAAUGUUCCUAAUAUCUGGACCAAUGGUUUCAGUCAUCACUGUUAUAUUAGUACAGGCUAAUUAAUACUGAACAGGACAAUACUUACUGAGGAGGGGGUGGGUAGCCUGAGUGCCAGUCUGUUUGUGCUAUCAUGCUAACUCCCUGGCACGCAAAAUGGUUGGCUUGACAAUGGAAACAAUGGAGUUGUUAAAAUCACAGGCCGAGAUUCAAUCAGGUGAAGUGUUAAAAUCACAGGCCGAGAUUCAAUCAGGUGAAGUGUUAAAAUCACAGGCCGAGAUUCAAUCAGGUGAAGUGUUAAAAUCACAGGCCGAGAUUCAAUCAGGUGAAGUGUUAAAAUCACAGGCCGAGAUUCAAUCAGAUGAAGUGUUAAAAUCACAGGCCGAGAUUCAAUCAGGUGAAGUGUUAAAAUCACAGGCCUAGAUUCAAUCAGGUGAAGUGUUAAAAUCACAGGCCGAGAUUCAAUCAGGUGAAGUGUUAAAAUCACAGGCCGAGAUUCAAUCAGGUGAAGUGUUAAAAUCACAGGCCGAGAUUCAAUCAGGUGAAGUGUUAAAAUCACAGGCCGAGAUUCAAUCAGAUGAAGUGUUAAAAUCACAGGCCGAGAUUCAAUCAGGUGAAGUGUUAAAAUCACAGGCCGAGAUUCAAUCAGGUGAAGUGUUAAAAUCACAGGCCGAGAUUCAAUCAGGUGAAGUGUUAAAAUCACAGGCCGAGAUUCAAUCAGAUGAAGUGUUAAAAUCACAGGCCGAGAUUCAAUCAGGUGAAGUGUUAAAAUCACAGGCCGAGAUUCAAUCAGGUGAAGUGUUAAAAUCACAGGCCGAGAUUCAAUCAGAUGAAGUGUUAAAAUCACAGGCCGAGAUUCAAUCAGGUGAAGUGUUAAAAUCACAGGCCGAGAUUCAAUCAGGUGAAGUGUUAAAAUCACAGGCCGAGAUUCAAUCAGAUGAAGUGUUAAAAUCACAGGCCGAGAUUCAAUCAGAUGAAGUGUUAAAAUCACAGGCCGAGAUUCAAUCAGGUGAAGUGUUAAAAUCACAGGCCGAGAUUCAAUCAAAUCAAGCGUUAACGCCGAUAGCAGACACCCACAUGUUUUGGUGGCGUAGCAACCGUGCUGGUGAGAUCAGUCACGAAGCCACACCCACCUCACUUAUGUUAGAAGUUCAGAAGGAAGUGUAGGGCUAUUCAACACUCCCUACACUGCACCACAUUCAGUCCACAUUCAGUCCACAUUCAGUCCACAUUCAGUCCACAUUCAGUCCACAUUCAGUCCACAUUCAGUCAUCAGUACAGAUCCCUUGAUAUCGGAGUUUUAGAUAAACUGAAAGCUAACUUUGCAACAAGAUUUGAUGAGUUUAAGUCCCCACAGAGGUGGUGCAGUUUAUUAUAGGGGCCCAUUCUCUACUGAUAGGAAGGAGAGAGACUUCUCCACAAAAACUAGUCAA